rnacentral:rRNA from 1 species
UACGUAGGGUGCGAGCGUUAAUCGGAAUUACUGGGCGUAAAGCGUGCGCAGGCGGUUUGUUAAGACAGGUGUGAAAAUCCCCCGGGCUUAACCUGGGAAUGGCGCUUGUUACUGGCAAGCUAGAGUGUGUCAGAGGGAGGUAAGAAUUCCACGUGUAGCAGUGAAAAUGCGUAGAGAUGUGGAGGAAUACCGAUGGCGAAGGCAGCCUCCUGGGAUAAACACUGACGCUCA